GCCUCUAUGGCGCAGUGGUAACGCGUCGCACUUGUAUUUCCCAACAAUAUGCAAUGCGAAGAUCCUGGGUUCAACUCCCAGUGGAGGCA
rfam:Neofusicoccum parvum TCRNP2 chromosome Tnknown NP2_03_scaffold_432, whole genome shotgun sequence.